rnacentral:lncRNA from 1 species
UGUGCCCUAUUUUCAAUAUAUGUUUAAUAUUUUAUUAUUAAAGUCUUCCUUUCAUCAUUAAAACACAAUAUAAAGUAGAGAGAGAAAGAGGGUAGAUAUAAAAUUUUAUAUUAAAAUAUUGGAUAGGGCAAGGAGAGAGGUGCCCUAUUAAUAGGGCUUGAAGAGAUCGUCCUAGUGAUAUAAGGCAUCACUAGGACACUCUUGGAUCAACAUUUUUC